GAUUACAAAGUCUGUCAACAGGAACUGAAUGGAGACCAAACUAACAGCGGCGAUAACACAUUAAAAACACAGCAUGCCGAAGAAAUACGCCUACCCCCCCGAAACACUGCAGAUUCUUGAAUCUCUCUGGACACAGGGAAUGCAGAAUUGCAGCACAGACGAGAACAAACUGAAAAUCCAGCAAGCAUCCGUGACAACAGGCCUUGUGGAUGAGAGAAUAAAGAGUUGGAUUUACUCCAGGAACCGAAAGAAGAGGAGGGAUGAUGAAGGGCACUCAAAGGCAAAAAAGUCAUGUUCUGCUGCAUCAAAUGCAAGAAUUUCUACUGAAGAUGUCACACAAAAUCAAGAUGAGACUGAGGAGGUCGACUCUGAGUGCAGCAGGCAGGGACAGGAAGGUCUGGGCCAGGAUUCAUCGUCGUCUGAUGAAUAUAUGAACAGAACCACGGAACCAGACCUGUCUGUCCAGGACUCAGACAAAGACAGUCAACAAGGAACAGCUGCUAGCCUCAUACAAAGUGUUGAAGGAAAAGUUCAGGAGCUGCAGGCGUGUAACUGUGAUGUCAUUGUCCUGGUUUACAACCACAGCAGCAGAUGUCUUUCCACAACUGGGACACUGAAGGGACUGGACUUUCUAAGUUCUCAGAAUCCAGGCAUUGAUUUGCAGUUUGCAGCAGCUGUAUCAGUUUCUUCAUGUGACUAUGCUUUGAACUGAAUCACAUGAUGACCUGGGUGACAACUCAGCUAUGCGAACUCGAUGAAGCAUAAAUGUGACCUCUGAACUCUUCAGAACAUCAGACUGCUGUUCUGAACUUCUGGCAUGUUUCUGCUUUCUGAAACCUUGAGUGAAAUUUGCAACGCCAGGACAUUGUUUUAGUCUGCUGUAAAAGAAAAAACACAAAUCAUCUUGUUCUGUAUGUAAAGAUGCACUUUGAUGAUGUAGCCACUUAGAGCGGUGAAGCUUUAUGAUCCAGUUGGCUCACGGUGGACACAAAGAAGGUAAAAUACUACUAUAUUUCGUAGAACAGGUGGCUUCUAAAAGGAUUUUCAUCUGCAUUUUAGUGUCCAACUUGCUUUUUUUUAGAGUAUUUCAGAGUAUUGUGAUAUUAUUUUAACAGUCUAUAUUUUAGGCUGAAAAUAAACAUUAACAUGA